GACAGAGGUGCCGAGCGUUAGGCGGAAUCACUGGGCGUAAGGGGUGCGUAGGCGGGUCUUUAAGUCAGGGGUGAAAUCCUGGAGCUCAACUCCAGAACUGCCUUUGAUACUGAGGAUCUUGAGUUCGGGAGAGGUGAGUGGAACUGCGAGUGUAGAGGUGAAAUUCGUAGAUAUUCGCAAGAACACCAGUGGCGAAGGCGGCUCACUGGCCCGAUACUGACGCUGAGGCACGAAAGCGUGGGGAGCAAACAGG
rnacentral:rRNA from 1 species